rnacentral:lncRNA from 1 species
GGGUUAUCCUAUAACCCUAUUGGGGUUAUCCUAUAAUCUUAUUGGGGUUGAUCAAAUCAAAUCCAUAAUGAAUCAAAUUAAAUUCAAUCAAAUUAUACUUGAUACAAACCCCAUUGCUCAAUCAAAUUAAGCCAAUUAGCAAUCUUAUUGCUAAUUAAUCCUCCUAUAACUUAUUAAGUAAGUUACAUAAUGCAAUAUUUGUAUUGGAUCA